GCUGAACAGGGCACUUUCGGCGGCAGGUUCGGCGGCCGAAAGGCCCUCCAGAGCCGAAAGUCAUGCACCUUCGACGGCACUUUCGGCGGCCGAAGGUUCCCUCUAGAGACGAAACUCAUGCAUGUUCGGUGGCACCUUCGGCGGCUGAAACUCCCUUCUAGAGCCGAAAGUCCUCUUUCGGGGGCAGGGUUCGGCAGCCGAUACAUGCUACCAUAGGCAGGUUCGGCGGCCGAAAGAGCCUUCGACUGCCGAACCUGAGUUCUUCCCAAGGGCAGAAACUCAGCCUCAAACAUGUACAAAAGCCUCCCAACUCAUUCCAUCAUAUAUUUACUUAGUCUACAACAUGCAAACUCAAGCAUAUAAGCUCUUAGGGGCUUCAAACUAUCCUAAACCCCAACUACAACACAUCAAACAUUCAUAACCAACAUACAUUACUCAAAAACACACAUUUAACCAAAAACUCAUCAUAAACCUACACAUGUAUUUCUACCCCAAGAAACUUCAUAAAACUUGCUUAAAACAUGAAAUGAACUAUGGAUCUACUCUUACCUCUUGAAGAACGAGAGGAGAGACGAUCCUAGCUCGGAGAUGGGGAGAAAUCAACUCUUUGGUCUCCAAGCUUCAAAACUUGCUCUUUUUGUUCAAAUAUCUUCAAAUCAACAUAAACCUUGUUAAAACAUGAAAGAUCGGAGGAAAAACAUCAAAGAGCAACCAUGGGAGAGCAUGGACUCACCGUUGGCCGAAAAUGGGGAGAAAGCUUGCCCAUUUCGGCCAUGGAGCCCUUUUAUAGGGGCUGCCAGACCACCUUUCGGCAGCCUAAAGUGCGUCCAAAACUCAUGCAAGUUCGUCGGCCGAACAUGAGGUUCGGCGGCCGAACAUGAGGUUCGGCGGCCGAACCUUUGAAACUUUCAGAAGCCUAACUUGCCCCCCUAAACUAUCCAAUGUUCGGCGGUCGAACUUGAGGUUCGGCGGCCGAACCUGGAAAUGCCUCCUUGGUCUUUUUCAUUCAAAAACUCAAAUUCCUUUCUUGCUUAAAACCACAAAAUACAUUAAAACAUUUCAUGAAAACAUGGUUUUACCCUUCUAGAGGUUUCCGACAUUCGAGAUUCCACCGGACGGUAGGAAUUCCGAUACCGGAGUCUAGCCGGGUAUUACAUUCUUCCCUCCUUAAGAACAUUCGUCCCCGAAUGUUCACCAAACAAACAUAGCAUGGCAUAAAACAUAAACAUUCACAUAAAACACAUAACACUUACUUUAAAAGAGAUGAGGAUAUCGCUGGAGCAUGGACUCCCGUGUCUCCCAGGUACACUCCUCAAUGUUGUGGUGAUUCCAAAGGACUUUCACCAUCGGGAUUUCCUUGUUCCUCAACUUUCUGAUCUGGGUGUCUAAGAUCCACACUGGCUGCUCAACAUAGGUGAGAUCUUCUUGGAUCUCCACAUCAGUGUAAUACCCGGCUAGACUCUGGUAUCGGAAUUCCUAUCGUCCGAUGGAAUCUCGGAUGUCGGAAACCUCUAGAAGGGUAAAAUCAUGUUUUUACAAAAUGUUUUAAUGUAUCUUAUGGUUUAAAGCAAAAAAGAAAUUGAGUUUUAAAAGAAAAAGACCAAGGAGACAUUUCCAGGUUCGGCCGCCGAACCUCAGGUUCGGCCGCCGAACCUCAAGUUCGGCCACCGAACAUGGGAUGGUUUAGGGGGGGCAAGUUAGGCUUCCGAAAGUUUCAAAGGUUCGGCCGCCGAACCUCAUGUUCGGCCGCCGAACUUGCAUGAGUUUUGGAGGCAUUUUAGGCUGCCGAAAGGUGGUCUGCCAGCCCCUAUAUAAGAGCUCCAUGGCCGAAACGGGCGAGUUUUCACCCCAUUUUCAGCCACGGUGAGUUCUUGCUCUCCCAUGGUUCAUUUUAGAUGUUUUUCCUUCGAUCUUUCAUGUUUUAACAAGCUUUAUGUUGAUUUGAAGAUAUUUGAACAAAAGAGCGAGUUUUGAAAGCUUGGAGACCAAAGAGUUGAGAUCUCUCCCAUCUCCAAGUUGGAUCGUCUCUCCUCUCGUUCUUCAAGAGGUAAGAGCAGAUCCAUAGUUCCUUUAAUGUUUUAAGUAAGUUUUAUGAAGUUUCUUGGGGUAGAAAUGCAUGUGUAGGUUUAUGUGGAGUUUAUGGGUUUACUGUGUGUUUAUGAGCAAUGUAUGUUUGUUAUGCAUGUUUGAUGUGUUGUAGUUGGGGUUUAGGAUAGUUUGAAACCCCUAGGAGCUUGUAUGCUUGAGUAUGCAUGUUGUAGAAUAUGAAAAUGCAUGAUUGAAUGAGUUGGGAGGCGUUCAUGCAUGUUGAGCUGAAUUUCUGCCCUUUGGAAAGAACUCAGGUUCGGCAGCCGAAGGCUCUUUCGGCCGCCGAACCUUCCUAUGGAGGCCAACUUUUGGCUACCGAACCCUGCCCCCCGAAAGUGGUCUUUCGGCUCUGGAAGGGACUUUCGGCCGCCGAACAUGCAUGAGUUUCGUCUCUGGAGGGAACCUUCGGCCGCCGAAAGUGCCGCCGAAUGUGCAUGAUUUUCGGCUCUAGAGGGCCUUUCGGCCGCCGAACCUGCCGCCGAAAAUGCCCUGUUCAGCCCUCCUUUGCAUGUUUUAUGUGAUUGUUUUAAGGUGUUUUAGGGGGGUUUUGGGGAGUAUUUUAGAGUCAUUUUUAUGUAUGUUAGGUCCCUCAUUUGAGUCCACCUGUGUAGGUUCAGACCCGAGGAACCGAGGACCCCAGCAGUGAGUCAGUCGCUUCAGAGUCAUUAGAGCUUCAGCUAGAGGUGAGUGGAAUAAACACUUAUGUUUUAAAGCAAAUAAAUAUAGAUUUGAGCAUGUUCAUGCAUCACGAAUGCCAUGUGAUAUUCUAGGUUGUUUGCAUUAGAAUUCACGAAUAUGUUGCAUUGCAUAAUUUGAUGAUGAUGUGGAUGGAUGUUGGAUGAUCCUUAGUCCUCAAUAUGAUACAAUGUAAUAUGAUACGGUAUGAUAUGGUAUGGAAGUCCGGUUGACCCAUUCUAUGUCUCGGCACUAUGUAAGAGAAAGACCGGUUGACCCAUUCUACGUCCCGGCACGUUGGAAUGUUAUGAUAUGUUAUGUUUAAGAGAAAGACCGGUUGACCCAUUCUACGUCCUGGCACCUUGGAAUGUAGAGGACUAUUGGUGACAAUACCAUCCUUGAUGUGAAUUGUUUGUGAUGUGUUGCAUCUCAUGAAAGCAUGAAAUUUAAAGUGAAUGUUUAUUUAUUCUGCUCACUGGGCUUUAUAGCUCACCCCUCUCCCUUAACCCCCAGGUUUGCAGGUACAGGGUAGACCAGGAGGUCAGCAGGAGUAGAGUUAUAUUAUGUAAUAGCUAGAUGUGGACAUGAAUAUGUUGUAAUGUAAAAGUAAAGUAUUGAAAUGUUAUGUAUUGAUGCUUAUGGAAGUUUAGAGUUGUGCUUGACCAUAGUAUUAUGUUAAUCCCUUUCUAGUUCAUGAUCUUAAUGUUUAACGAUGAUUAUUGUAAACCAAACUGAAUUUAUGUUAUGUCACCCCAUUGGAGCAUUGAUGAGGACUCCAAGGUGGGGUUAAUGUUUAUGUUUAUGAAUAGUGCAUGCACAGGUUGAGUUUGGUGAUUGAAUGGAAAGAAAAGUUCAAAAUUUUUAUGUAUGUUGUUGAUCAUGUAUGGGAUUAAACAGGUUCACAGGAUGAAUGUUUGGCUUGCUACGGGUCCCGGCGGCCUUAAGCCGAUCUGGAUCCUAGCGCCGGUAGCGGUCCAAUUUUCGGGUCGUUACAGAUUGGUAUCAGAGCCCUAGGUUCAUAUGGUCGGACCUAGAGUGUCGGGCUCAUAGAGGUUAUAGAAGGUCAAGCACAAUAGGAAAAAUCAUGUCCACUAGGAUAGGAUGAAGAGUCCUGUCUUGAAUGAUGAUGUGAAAUGCCAUGAUUUUAUGCAUGUGCAUUAAUGUUAUGCUUUGAUAUGUGAUGCGGGUUCAUGUGUUUGCACAUGAACCAUUUGAUGCUAAUGUUCUAUGUGAUGUAUGCUGUUUUUCAGAAAACAGGAUGAGAGGAACUCGUCGAUCGGCACGAUUGACUGAAGUACUACCCCAGGACGAGGGCACUGAUGCCCGUCCUCCUGCAUUGCCUACGGCAAUGUCAAGUAGGUCCAGCAGAGAAAGAGCAGUAAGAGACCCUAGAAGGUCUUUGGAUCUGGGUAGAAGCAGAUCAGUGAAGGGAACAGUGCAAGGGGAUAUGUCAGAGGAUGUGGGGGAUCAGAUGGAUGUGGAUCAGAGGAGGGAUGGCAGUCUCGGAGUAAGUAUGUCGGAAGAGGGAAUGGGAGAGUCCCAUGGAGGCACUCAGGCCUCGGGAUUUGUUCAGCCACCUUACUACCCACCCUUUUCACAUAAUCCCGGGUAUUCAAUGGGAGGUACAUCGGAUUACCCCAGUUUUAACCCUUAUCACUCUCAGAUGCCAUACCCACCUUUCUACCCACCGUACCCACAGUACCCUAUGUAUCCACCUCCACCCUACCAUCCAGGUACAGCAAACCCUACCCCAGGGGAUGCUGCACCUCCUCCACCACCAGCAGCACCUACUGUCCCAGAAAUCCAAAUGCCUAAACCUAGCUCAUCUGGGGGGAGCAAGGUCAAGAUGACCGAUUACAUGAAGCUGGGUGCUCCCCAGUUUGAAACCGGUGAUGACCCGUUUGUGUACCUCGAAAGGGUUAAGACAAUUACAGAUGAGAUAGGAGCUGAUGACAGUAGAGCCAUUCAGAUGGCUGGGUUCACACUAAAAUGCAAGAAGGCCUGAGAGUGGUUUAAGAACUAUGUGAACCCGAGGUUGGACAGCCUAUCAUGGGAGGAGUUUGCAAAUGAGUUUGCAGGAUGGGUUUUCCCUGACAGUUCAAGAGAAUUGAAGAUGAUUGAGUUCGAGCAACUGAGGCAGACAGAUGAGAUGAGUGUGGAUGAGUUCACAGACAGGUUUUUGGAGCUGUUGCCGUUUGCCGAGCAAAAUCUGGAUACAGAUCAGAAAAAGUCAAGGAGGUAUAUCAUGAAGCUCCAUUCCAGGUAUUCCUCCUUGAUUCAGUCAGCAAAGAGGGAGAGUUUCCAUGCCAUAGUGGAUAUGGCUCGGAGAAUGGAGGCUAGUGCUAUCAUCGAAGGGAAAGUCAAGCAGUCAGUGGCACAGCCUUCUGGUUCCAAGACCCCAGGUGGGGGAAAGUUAGACCCUUCUUCUCUAAGUUCAAGCAGUAAGAGGUGGGGCAACACCACCAGGAAGCCAAAGAAGAACAAGUUCUGGAGCAAGAUCAAGUCAGGUCUGGGAUUAGGAGGUGGUUCUAGCUCAAGUGCAGAUAAUGCAGUAUGCAAGAAGUGUGGGAAGCCGCACAAAGGAGUAUGUCUGGUUGGGACGACAGCCUGCUUCAGAUGUGGGCAGGAGGGACACAUGGCACGGGAGUGUCCUAGGGCAGCUUUUGUGGCACAGUCUCAGCAGACAGCCUGUGGUAGUGUGGCUCAACCAGUAGCUCCAGCCGCGACUCAGGCUAGUGGCAGAGGCAGAGGAAGAGGGGCAGCCUCUUCUUCGGCAGGUUUCAGGGGUGAGGGCCCGUCAGCUCCAGCACGGAUCUUCACCAUGACUCAGCAGGAGGCAAACACAUCCAACACCGUGGUGUCAGGUAAUCUCAUCAUUAGUUGUUCUGAUGUGUAUGCAUUAAUGGACCCUGGUGCAUCUCGUUCUUUCAUUGCUCCGAGGGCCGUCGAGAGGUUGGGAUUGAUGGUCUCUGGGUUAGAGUGUCCCCUAUGGGUCAGUGGACCCAAGUGUGACCCAUGAGUGGCAGAGUCAGUCUGCCAGUGUAGUCUAGUUUUUGUGGAGGGAAGAUGCCUGUCCGCCGACCUUGUGGUUCUAGAUUUGACAGAUUUUGACGUCAUUCUAGGGAUGGAUUGGCUAUCUACCCAUGGUGCUACCUUGGAUUGCAGAGACAAGGUAGUCAGGUUCAGAUGUCAAGAUGGGUCAGAGGUUGUCUUCAGAGGAGACAGGAGGGAUACACCUAGAGGUUUGAUAUCAGCCCUACAGGCUCGUAGGCUCCUCAAGAGGGGUUGUCAGGGUUUUUUAGCUCAUAUGAGAGAGCUGGAUAGUCAUGUCAGAGAGCCCGCCUCACUGCCAGUGGUCAGAGAGUUCUUAGACGUUUUCCCAGACGAACUGCCAGGUUUAUCACCUGCUAGGGAAAUAGAGUUCGAAAUUGAAUUGAUGCCUGGAAUUAGACCGAUCUCUAUCCCUCCCUACAGGAUGGCAACAGCAGAAUUGAAAGAGUUGAAAGAGCAGUUGCAAGAGCUGGUAGAUAGGGGUUUCAUCCGACCGAGCACCUCACCUUGGGGUGCUCCAGUGCUAUUUGUGAAAAAGAAGGAUGGAUCUCUCAGACUUUGUAUCAACUACAGGCAGUUGAACAAGGUCACUACCAAGAACAAGUACCCAUUGCCAAGGAUCGACGAUCUAUUCGACCAGCUAGCAGGAGCAGGUUGUUUCUCCAAAAUAGAUCUGAGAUCGGGGUAUCAUCAGCUGAGGAUAAGAGAAGAGGAUGUACCGAAAACAGCAUUCAGGACUAGAUAUGGGCACUAUGAGUUCCUUGUGAUGCCGUUCGGGUUAACCAACGCCCCUGCAGCAUUCAUGGAUCUCAUGAACAGAGUGUUUAGCCAGUACCUGGAUCACUUUGUUAUUGUCUUCAUAGAUGAUAUCUUAGUGUAUUCCAUGAAUGCAGAGGAGCAUGCCCAUCAUCUGAGGUUAGUUCUACAGACCUUGAGUGAACAUGGCUUGUAUGCCAAGUUCUCCAAGUGUGAGUUCUGGCUGAGGAGCAUCUCCUUCUUGGGGCAUAUGGUGUCAGAAAAUGGAAUCGAGGUAGACCCCAAGAAAGUGGAAGCUGUAGCUAACUGGCCUAGACCCACUACAGUGAUAGAGAUCAAAAGCUUAUUGGGCUUGGCAGGUUACUACAGGAGGUUCGUUCAGGACUUCUCUAAGAUUGCAGCUCCUAUGACCAUAUUGACUAAGAAGAACCAGAGGUUUGUGUGGACCGACCAGUGUGAAGAGAGCUUUGAGGAGCUCAAGAAGAGGUUGACUUCAGCACUAGUUUUAGCUCUUCCAGCUAGUAAUGAAGACUUCUCAGUGUAUUGUGAUGCGUCCCGUGUGGGACUGGGUUGUGUGCUAAUGCAGAAUGAAAGGGUGAUUGCUUAUGCUUCUAGGCAGCUGAAGAAGCACGAGUUGAAUUACCCUACACAUGACCUAGAGAUGGCAGCAGUAAUCUUUGCACUCAAGAUGUGGAGGCAUUACCUUUAUGGGGUAAAAUGUGAGAUCUUCACAGAUCAUAAGAGCCUACAGUACAUCCUGAGUCAGAGAGAGCUGAAUUUGAGACAGAGAAGAUGGGUAGAACUGCUAAGUGACUACGAUUGCAAGAUCCAGUACCAUCCGGGUAAGGCGAAUGUUGUGGCAGACGCCUUAAGCCGGAAAUCACUUGGCAGUUUGUCCCAUAUUUCAGCAGAGAGGAGGCCAAUAGUGAGGGAGUUCUUCGAGCUCAUCAAUGAAGGUCUACAGUUGGAGUUGUCUGGUACAGGUGCUUUGAUUGCCCAGAUGAGAGUGGCACUCGUGUUUCUGGAGUAGGUGGCUCAGAAACAGCAUGAGGACCUAGAAUUAGUGAAGAUUGCCAGGACUAUUCAGUCAGGCAAAGAUAGUGAGUUCAGAUUCGACAGCAAGGGGAUCCUCCGCUAUGGAAUCAGAUUGUGUGUACCAGAUGACGUAGGGCUGAAGGGAGACAUUAUGAGAGAGGCUCAUAAUGCCAGAUACAGUGUUCACCCUGGAGCCACCAAAAUGUAUCAAGAUCUGAAGAAAGUGUAUUGGUGGCCAGCAAUGAAGAGAGAAGUUGCACAGUACGUGUCAGCCUGCGAAAUAUGUCAGAGGGUGAAGCUGGAACAUCAGAAGCCGGCUGGAAUGCUUAACCCACUACCUAUUCCAGAGUGGAAAUGGGAGAAUAUAGCUAUGGACUUCGUGGUGGGGUUACCAGCGACGUCCAACAGAUUAGACUCCAUAUGGGUGAUUGUGGACAGACUGACCAAAUCUGCUCACUUCAUCCCUGUCAAGAGUGGCUAUUCUGUGGACAAGUUGGCGCAGGUGUAUGUAGAUGAGAUUGUCAGACUGCAUGGGGUUCCUGUUUCAAUAGUAUCUGAUCGAGGGCCCCAGUUCACCUCUAGGUUUUGGCGGAGUCUGCAGAAUGCUAUGGGUACCAGGUUGGAUUUUAGCACUGCUUUCCAUCCACAAACUGACGGACAGUCAGAGAGGACCAUCCAAACAAUAGAAGAUAUGCUCAGAAUGUGUGUGCUGGAUUUUGGCGGUUCUUGGAGGCAGCAUCUACCUUUGGUGGAGUUUGCUUACAAUAACAGCCAUCAUGCUAGCAUCGGGAUGGCUCCAUAUGAAGCUUUAUAUGGAAGGAAGUACAGAUCGCCUGUUUGUUGGGAAGAAAUUGGAGAAAAGGCCUUGGCAGGGCCUGAGCUAGUAGAGAUCACCAGCAGAAUGGUGCCCAUAAUCAGAGAAAGAAUCAAGACUGCUGCAAGCAGGCAAAAGAGUUAUGCAGAUAUCCGCAGAAGGCAAGUAGAGUUUCAGGAGGGGGAUUUGGUAUUGCUCAAGGUGUCUCCAAUGAAAGGGGUGAUUCGGUUCGGAAAGAAAGGUAAGCUAGCUCCAUGGUACAUGGGACCCUUUGAAGUCUUGCAAAAGAUUGGGAAUGUAUCGUACAAGCUGGACUUGCCUGCUUCAAUGGAAAGAAUCCAUCCGGUUUUCCAUGUUUCCAUGUUAAGGAAGUUCGUGUCAGAUCCGGGCAAGGUUCUUAGUGAGCCUGAUGUGGAGAUCCAAGAGGUUCUCACCUAUGUUGAGCAGCCAGUGCGGAUCCUAGACACCCAGAUCAGAAAGCUAAAGAACAAGGAAAUCCCGAUGGUGAAAGUCCUUUGGAAUCACCACAACAUCGAAGAGUGUACCUGGGAGACACGGGAGUCUAUGCUCCGGCAAUAUCCUUAUCUCUUCUAAGGUAAGUUUUUAUGUGCUUUGUAUGAAUGUUUGUGUUUUAUCCUUGCCAUGUGUUUGUUUGGUGAACAUUCGGGGACGAAUGUUCUUAAGGGGGAAGAAUGUAAUACCCGGCUAGACUCCGAUAUCGGAAUUCCUACCGUCCGGUGGAAUCUCGGAUGUUGGAAACCUCUAGAAGGAUAAAAUCAUGUUUUUACAAAAUGUUUUAAUGUAUCUUAUGGUUUUAAGCAAAAAGAAAAUUGAGUUUUAAAAGAAAAAGACCAAGGAGACAUUUUCAAGUUCGGCCGCCGAACCUCAUGUUCGGCCGCCGAACUUGGAUGAGUUUUGGAGGCACUUUAGGCUACCGAAAGGUUGUCUGCCAGCCCCUAUAUAAGAGCUCUAUGGCCGAAACGGGCGAGUUUUCUCCCUAUUUUCGGCCACGGUGAGUUCUUGCUCUCCCAUGGUUCAUUUUAGAUGUUUUUCCUUCGAUCUUUCAUGUUUUAACAAGCUUUAUGUUGAUUUGAAGAUAUUUGAACAAAAUAGCAAGUUUUGGAAGCUUGGAGACCAAAGAGUUGAGAUCUCUACCAUCUCCAAGUUGGAUCGUCUCUCUUCUCGUUCUUCAAGAGGUAAGAGCAGAUCCAUAGUUCCUUUAAUGUUUUAAGUAAGUUUUAUGAAGUUUCUUGGGGUAGAAAUGCAUGUGUAGGUUUAUGUGGAGUUUAUGGGUUUACUGUGUGUUUAUGAGAAAUGUAUAUUGGUUAUGCAUGUUUGAUGUGUUGCAGUUGGGGUUUAGGAUAGUUUGAAACCCUAGGAGCUUGUAUGCUUGAGUAUGCAUGUUGUAGAAUAGGAAAAUGCAUGAUUGAAUGAGUUGGGAGGCGUUUAUGCAUGUUGAGCUGAGUUUCUACCCUUUAGGAAGAAUUCAGGUUCGGCAGCCGAAGGCUCUUUUGGCCGCCGAACCUGCCUGUGGAGGCCAACUUUUGGCUGCCGAACCCUGCCCCCGAAAGUGGACUUUCGGCUCUGGAAGGGACUUUCGGCCGCGGAAGGUGCCGCCGAACAUGCAUGAGUUUCGUCUCUGGAGGGAACCUUCGGCCGCCGAAAGUGCCGCCGAAAGUGCAUGACUUUCGGCUCUAGAGGGCCUUUCGGCCGCCGAACCUGCCGCCGAAAGUGCCCUGUUCAGCCCUCCUUUGCAUGAUUUAUGUGAUUGUUUUAAGGUGUUUUAGGGGGUUUUUGGGGAGUAUUUUAGAGUCAUUUUUAUGUAUGUUAGGUCGCUCAUUUGAGUCCACCUGUGUAGGUUCGGACCCGAGGAACCGAGGACCCCAGCAGUGAGUCAGUCGCUUCAGAGUCAUUAGAGCUUCAGCCAGAGGUGAGUGGAAUAAGCACUUAUGUUUUAAAGCAAAUAAAUAUAGAUUUGAGCAUGUUCAUGCAUCACGAAUGCCAUGUGAUAUUCUAGGUUGUUUGCAUUAGAAUUCACGAAUAUGUUGCAUUGCAUAAUUUGAUGAUGAUGUGGAUGAAUGUUGGAUGAUCCUUAGUCCUCAAUAUGAUACGAUGUAAUAUGAUACGGUAUGAUAUGGUAUGGAAGUCCGGUUGACCCAUUCUAUGUCCCGGCACUAUGUAAGAGAAAGACCGGUUGACCCAUUCUACGUCCCGGCACGUUGGAAUGUUAUGAUAUGUUAUGUUUAAGAGAAAGACCGGUUGACCCAUUUUACGUCCCGGCACCUUGGAAUGUAGAGGAUUAUUGGUGACAAUACCAUCCUUGAUGUGAAUUGUUUGUGAUGUGUUGCAUCUCAUGAAAGCAUGAAAUUUAAAGUGAAUGUUUAUUUAUUCUGCUCACUGGGCUUUAUAGCUCACCCCUCUCCCUUAACCCCCAGGUUUGCAGGUACAGGGUAGACCAAGAGGUCAGUAGGAGUAGAGUUAUGUUAUGUAAUAGCUAGAUGUGGACAUGAAUAUGUUGUAAUGUAAAAGUAAAGUAUUGAAAUGUUAUGUAUUGAUGCUUAUGGAAGUUUAGAGUUGUGCUUGACCAUAGUAUUAUGUUAAUCCCUUUCUAGUACAUGAUCUUAAUGUUUAACGAUGAUUAUUGUAAUCCAAACUUAAUUUAUGUUAUGUCACCCCAUUGGAGCAUUGAUGAGGACUCCAAGGUGGGGUUAAUGUUUAUGUUUAUGAAUAGUGCAUGCACAGGUAGAGUUUGGUGAUUGAAUGGAAAGAAAAGUUCAAAAUUUUUAUGUAUGUUGUUGAUCAUGUAUGGGAUUAAACAGGUUCACAGGAUGAAUGUUUGGCUUGCUACGGGUCCCGGCGGCCUUAAGCCGAUCUGGAUCCUAGCGCCGGUAGCGGUCCAAUUUUCGGGUCGUUACAGAUUGGUAUCAGAGCCCUAGGUUCAUAUGGUCGGACCUAGAGUGUCGGGCUCAUAGAGGUUAUAGAAGGUCAAGCACAAUAGGAAAAAUCAUGUCCACUAGGAUAGGAUGAAGAGUCCUGUCUUGAAUGAUAAUGUGAAAUGCCAUGAUUUUAUGCAUGUGCAUUAAUGUUAUGCUUUGAUAUGUGAUGCGGGUUCAUGUGUUUGCACAUGAACCAUUUGAUGUUAAUGUUCUAUGUGAUGUAUGCUGUUUUUCAGAAAACAGGAUGAGAGGAACUCGUCGAUCGGCACGAUUGACUGGAGUACUACCCCAGGACAAGGGCACUGAUGCCCGUCCUCCUGCAUUGCCUAGGGCAAUGUCAAGUAGGUCCAGCAGAGAAAGAGCAGUAAGAGACCCUAGAAGGUCUUUGGAUCUGGGUAGAAGCAGAUUAGUGAAGGGAACAGUGCAAGGGGAUAUGUCAGAGGAUGUGGGGGAUCAGAUGGAUGUGGAUCAGAGGAGGGAUGGCAGUCUCGGAGUAAGUAUGUCGGAAGAGGGAAUGGGAGAGUCCCAAGGAGGCACUCAGGCCUCGGGAUUUGUUCAGCCACCUUACUACCCACCCUUUUCACAUAAUCCCGGGUAUUCAAUGGGAGGUACAUCGGAUUACCCCAGUUUUAACCCUUAUCACUCUCAGAUGCCAUACCCACCUUUCUACCCACCGUACCCAUAGUACCCUAUGUAUCCACCUCCACCCUACCAUCCAGGUACAGCAAACCCUACCCCAGAGGAUGCUGCACCUCCUCCACCAGCAGCAGCACCUACUGUCCCAGAAAUCCAAAUUCCUAAACCUAGCUCAUCUGGGGGGAGCAAGGUCAAGAUGACCGAUUACAUGAAGCUGGGUGCUCCCCAGUUUGAAACCGGUGAUGACCCGUUUGUGUACCUCGAAAGGGUUAAGACAAUUACAGAUGAGAUAGGAGCUGAUGACAGUAGAGCCAUUCAGAUGGCUGGGUUCACACUAAAAUGCAAGAAGGCCCGAGAGUGGUUUAAGAACUAUGUGAACCCGAGGUUGGACAGCCUAUCAUGGGAGGAGUUUGCAAAUGAGUUUGCAGGAUGGGCUUUCCCUGACAGUUCAAGAGAAUUGAAGAUGAUUGAGUUCGAGCAUUUGAGGCAGACAGAUGAGAUGAGUGUGGAUGAGUUCACAGACAGGUUUUUGGAGCUGUUGCCGUUUGCCGAGCAAAAUCUGGAUACAGAUCAGAAAAAGUCAAGGAGGUAUAUCAUGAAGCUCCAUUCCAGGUAUUCCUCCUUGAUUCAAUCAGCAAAGAGGGAGAGUUUCCAUGCCAUAGUGGAUAUGGCUCGGAGAAUGGAGGCUAGUACUAUCAUCGAAGGGAAAGUCAAGCAGUCAGUGGCACAGCCUUCUGGUUCCAAGACCCCAGGUGGGGGAAAGUUAGACCCUUCUUCUCUGAGUUCAAGCAGUAAGAGGUGGGGCAACACCACCAGGAAGCCAAAGAAGAACAAGUUCUGGAGCAAGAUCAAGUCAGGUCUGGGAUUAGAAGGUGGUUCGAGCUCAAGUGCAGAUAAUGCAGUAUGCAAGAAGUGUGGGAAGCCGCACAAAGGAGUAUGUCUGGUUGGGACGACAGCCUGCUUCAGAUGUGGGCAGGAGGGACACAUGGCACGGGAGUGUCCUAGGGCAGCUUUUGUGGCACAUUGGAGCAUUGAUGAGGACUCCAAGGUGGGGUUAAUGUUUAUGUUUAUGAAUAGUGCAUGCACAGGUUGAGUUUGGUGAUUGAAUGGAAUGAAAAGUUCAAAAUUUUUUUGUAUGUUGUUGAUCAUGUAUGGGAUUAAACAGGUUCACAGGAUGAAUGUUUGGCUUGCUACGGGUCCCGGCGGCCUUAAGCCGAUCUGGAUCCUAGCGCCGGUAGCGGUCCGAUUUUCGGAUCGUUACAAUCAGGCUCACAAAGAACCUUGCCCGGAUCUGACACGAACUUUCUUAACAUGGAAACAUAGAAAACCGGAUGGAUUCUUUCCAUUGAAGUAGGUAAAUCCAGCUUAUACGAUAUAUUCCUGAUCUCCUGCAAGAUCUCAAAUGGUCCGAUGUACCGUGGAGCUAGCUUACCUUUCUUCCCAAACCGAAUCACCCCUUUCAUUGGAGACACUUUGAGCAAUACCAAAUCCCCCUCCUGAAACUCUACUUGCCUUCUGCGGACAUCUGCAUAACUCUUUUUCCUGCUUGCAGCAGUCUUGAUCCUUUCUCUGAUUAUGGGCACCACUCUGCUGGUGAUCUCUACUAGCUCAGGCCCUGCUAAGGCCUUUUCCCCAACUUCUUCCCAACAGACAGGCGACCUGCACUUCCUUCUAUACAAAGCCUCAUAUGGAGCCAUCCCGAUGCUAGCAUGAUGGCUGUUAUUGUAGGCAAACUCCACCAAAGGUAGAUGCUGCCUCCAAGAACCGCCAAAAUCCAGCACACACAUUCUGAGCAUAUCCUCUAUUGUUUGGAUGGUCCUCUCCGAUUGUCCAUCCGUCUGAGGAUGGAAAGUAGUGCUAAAAUCCAACUUGGUACCCAUAGCAUUCUGUAGACUCCGCCAAAACCUGGAGGUGAACUGGGGCCCUCUAUCAGACACUAUUAAAACAGGAACCCCAUGCAACCUGACAACCUCAUCAACAUACACCUGCGCCAACUUGUCCACAGAAUAGCCACUCCUGACAGGGAUGAAGUGAGUAGAUUUGAUCAGUCUGUCCAUAAUCACCCAUAUGGAGUCUAGUCUAUUGGACGCUGCCGGUAGCCCCACCACGAAGUCCAUAGCUAUAUUCUCCCAUUUCCACUCUGAAAUAGGUAGUGGGUUAAGCAUUCCAGCCGGCUUCUGAUGUUCCAGCUUCACCCUUUGACAUACUUCGCAGGCUGACACGAACUGUGCCACUUCUCUCUUCAUAGCUGGCCACCAAUAAACCCUCUUCAGAUCUUGAAACAUUUUGGUGGCUUCAGGGUGAACACUGUAUUUGGCAUUAUGAGCCUCUCUCAUAAUGUCUCCCUUCAGUCCCACGUCAUCUGGUACACACAAUCUAUUCCCAUAGCGGAUGAUCCCCUUACUGUCAAAUCUGAACUCUUCAUUCUUGCCUGACUGAAUAGUCUUGGCAAUCUUUACUAACUCUGGGUCCUCGUGUUGUUUCUGAGCCACCUGCUCCAGAAACACGGGUGCCACUCUCAUCUGGGCUAUCAAAGAACCUGUACCAGACAACUCCAACUAUAGACCUUCAUUAAUGAGCUCGAAGAACUGCCUCACCACUGGUCUUCUCUCUGCUGAAAUAUGGGACAAACUGCCAAGUGAUUUCCGGCUUAAGGCGUCUGCCACAACAUUCGCCUUACCCGGAUGGUACUGGAUCUUGCAAUCAUAGUCACUAAGCAGUUCUACCCAUCUUCUCUGCCUCAAAUUCAGCUCUCUCUGACUCAGGAUGUACUGCAGGCUUUUAUGAUCUGUGAAGAUCUCACAUUUUACCCUAUAAAGGUAAUGCCUCCACAUCUUGAGUGCAAAGAUUACCGCUGCCAUCUCUAGAUCAUGUGUAGGGUAAUUCAACUCGUGCUUCUUCAGCUGCCUAGAAGCAUAAGCAAUCACCCUUUCAUUCUGCAUUAGCACACAACCUAGUCCCACACGGGACGCAUCACAGAAAACCGUAAAGUCUUCAUUACUAGUUGGCAGAGCCAACACUGGUGCUGAAGUCAACCUCUUCUUGAGCUCCUCAAAGCUCUCUUCACACUGGUCGGUCCACACAAACCUCUGGUUCCUCUUAGUCAGUCUGGUCAUAGGAGCUGCAAUCUUAGAGAAGUCCUGGAUGAACCUCCUGUAGUAACCUGCCAAACCCAAGAAGCUGUUGAUCUCUGUCACUAUAGUGGGUCUAGGCCAGUUAGCUACAGCUUCCACUUUCUUGGGGUCUACCUCGAUUCCAUUUUCUGACACAACGUGCCCCAAGAAUGAAAUGCUCCUCAGUCAGAACUCACACUUGGAGAACUUGGCAUACAAGCCGUGUUCCCUCAAGGUUUGCAGAACUAAGCUCAGAUGAUGGACAUGCUCCUCUGCAUUCCUGGAAUACACUAAGACAUCAUCUAUGAAGACAAUAACAAAGUGAUCCAGGUACUGGCUAAAUACUCUGUUCAUGAGAUCUAUGAAUGCUGCAGGGGCAUUGGUUAACCCGAACGGCAUCACAAGGAACUCAUAGUGCCCAUAUCUAGUCCUGAAUGUUGUCUUCGGCACAUCCUCUUCUCUUAUCCUCAGCUGAUGGUACCCCGAUCUCAGAUCUAUUUUGGAGAAACAACCUGCUCCUGCUAGCUGGUCGAAUAGAUCGUCGAUCCUUGGCAACGGGUACUUAUUCUUGGUAGUGACCUUGUUCAACUGUCUGUAGUCGAUACAAAGUCUGAGAGAUCCAUCCUUCUUUUUCACAAAUAGCACUGGAGCACCCCAAGGUGAGGUACUCGGUCGGAUGAAGCCUCUAUCUACCAACUCUUGCAAAUGCUCCUUAAGCUCCUUCAAUUCUGCUGGUGCCAUCCUGUAGGGAGGGAUAGAGAUCGGUCUGGUUUCAGGCAUCAAUUCAAUUUCAAACUCUAUUUUCCUAGCAGGUGGUAAACCUGGCAACUCAUCUGGAAAAACGUCUAAGAACUCACUGACCACUGGCACUGAGGCGGGCUCUCUGACAUGACUAUCCAGCUCUCUCACAUGAGCUAGAAAACCCUGACAACCCCUCCUGAGUAACCUACGAGCCUGAAGGGCUGAUAUCAAACCUCUAGGUGUACUCCCCCUGUCUCCCUUGAAGACAACCUCUGACCCAUCCUGACAUCUGAACUUGACUACCUUGUCUCUGCAAUCCAAGGUAGCACCAUAUGUAGAUAGCCAAUCCAUCCCUAGAAUGACGUCAAAAUCUGUCAAAUCUAGAACCACAAGGUCAGCUGAAAGGCAUCUUCCCUCAACGAAAACUGGACUAUACUGGCAGACUGACUCUGCCACUGACGGGUCACACUUGGGUCCACUGACCCAUAGGGGACACUCUAACCCAGAGACCAUCAAACCCAAUCUCUCGACGGCCCUCGAAGCAAUGAAAGAAUGAGAUGCACCAGGGUCUAUUAAGGCAUAAACAUCCGAGCAACGAAUGAUGAGAUUACCUGCCACCACGGUGUUCGAUGCAUUUGCCUCCUGCUGUGUCAUUGUGAAGAUCCGUGCUGGGGCUGAUGGACCUUCACCUCUGAAACCCGCGGAAGAAGAGGCUGCCCCUCUCCCUCUGCCUCUGCCACUGGCCUGAGUCGCGGCUGGAGCCACUGGUUGAGCCACACUACCGGAGGCUGUCUGCUGAGACUGUGCUACAAAAGCUGCUCUAGGACACUCCCGAGCCAUGUGUCUCUCCUGCCCACACCUGAAGCAGGCUGUCGUCCCAACCAGACAUACACCCAUGUGCGGCUUCCCACACUUCCUACAUACUGCAUUAUCUGCACCUAAGCUUGAGCCACUUCCCAAUCCCAGACCUGACUUGAUCUUGCUCCAGAACUUGUUCUUCUUUGGCUUCUUGGUGGUAUUGCCCCACCUCUUACUGCCUGAACUCAGAGAAGAAGGGUCUAACUUUCCCCCACCUGGGGUCUUGGAACCGGAAGGCUGUGCCACUGACUGCUUGACUUUCCCUUCGAUGAUUGCACUAGCCUCCAUCCUCCGAGCCAUAUCCACUAUGGCAUGGAAACUCUCCCUCUCUGCUGACUGGAUCAAGGAGGAAUACCUGGAAUGGAGCCUCAUGAUAUACCUCCUUGACUUCUUCUGAUUUGUGUCCAGAUUCUGCCCAGCAAACGGUAACAGCUCCAAGAAUCUGUCUGUAUACUCAUCCACACUCAUCUCAUCUGACUGCCUCAACUGCUCAAAUUCAAUCAUCUUCAACUCCCUUGAACUGUCAGGGAAAGCCCAUCCUGUAAACUCAUUUGCAAACUCCUCCCAUGAUAGGCUGUCCAAUCUCGGGUUCACAUAGUUCUUGAAUCACUCACGGGCCUUCUUGUAUUUUAGUAUGAACUCGGCCAUCUGAAUGGCUCUACUGUCAUCAGCUCCUAUCUCAUCUGUAAUCAUUUUGACCCUCUCAAGGUACACAAACGGGUCAUCACCGGUUUCAUACUGGGGAGCACCCAGCUUCAUGUAGUCGGUCAUCUUGACCUUGCUCCCUCCAGAUGAGCUAGGUUUAGGCAUUUGGGUUUCUGGGACAGUAGGUGCUGCUGGUGGUGGAGGAGGUACAACAUCCCCUGGAGUAGGGUUUGCUGUACCUGGGUAGAAGGACGGGGGUGGGUACAUAGGGUACUGUGGGUAUGGUGGGUAGAAAGGUGGGUAUGGCAUGUGGGAGUGGUAAGGGCUAAAGCUGGGGUAAUCCGAUGUACCUCCCAUCGAAUACCCGGGAUUCUGAGAAAAGGGUGGGUACUGGGGUGGCUGAACAAAUCCCGAGGCCUGAGUGCCUCCUUGGGACUCUCCCAUACCCUCAUCCGACAUACUCACUCCAAGACUGCCAUCCCUCCUCUAAUCCACAUCCAUAUCAUCCCCCACAUCCUCUGACAUUCCUCCUUGCACUGUUCCCCUUACUGAUCUGCUUCUGUUCAUAUCCAAAGACCUUCUAGGGUCUCUCACUGCUCUUUCCCUGCUAGACCUGCUAGACAUUGCCCUUGGCAAUGCAGGGGGAUGGGCACUCAUUCCCUCAUCCUCCGGUGGUACUCCAGUCAAUCGUGCAGAUCGACGAGUUCCUCUCAUCCUAUUUAUUGAAAAACAACACAGCACACAUCACAUAAACAUUAGCAUCAAAUGGUUCAUGUGCAAACACAUGAACCCGCAUCACAUAUAUCACAUAUCAUAGCAUAACUUUAAUGCACAUGCUUAUGAUCAUGGCAUUUCACAUCAUCAUUCAAGACAGGACUCUACAUCCUAUCCUAGUGGACAUGAUUUUCCUAUUGUGCUUGACCUUCUAGAACAUCCAUGAGCCCGACACUCUAGGUCCAACCAUAUGAACCUAGGGUUCUGAUACUAAUCUGUAACGACCAGAAAAUUGGACCGCUACCGGCGCUAGGAUCCAGAUCGGCAUAAGGCCGCCGAGACCCGUAGCAAGCCAAACAUUCAUCCUGUAAGCCUGUUUAAUCCCAUACAUGAUCAACAAUUACAUAAAAAUUUAAAACUUUCUCAUUUGGUCAUUCAUUCACUCAUUCUUUCAUUCAUUCUUUCAUUCAUUCUUUCAUUCAUUCUUAACCUGUGCAUGCACAAAUCAUAAUAUAAAACCUCGCACUGAAGUCCUCAUCAAAUACUCCAAUGGGGUAACAUAACAUACAUUAAGCUUGGUUUACAAUAAUCAUCAUUAAACAUUUAAGAUCAUGUACCACAAAGGGAUUAACAAUAUACUAGGAUCAAGCACAAUUAUAUACCUCAAUACUCAUUUUUACAUUACAUAACUAUUUAAUACCAUUCAUUACAUUACUGAACUAUACAUUACAUUUCAAUAUUUAUCAUGUCCACCACUAGCUAUUACAUGACCAUAACUUUACUCUAGCUGACCUCCUGGUCUAUCCCGUACCUGCAAACCUGGGGGAUUAAGGGAGAGGGGUGAGCUAUAAAGCCCAAUGAGCAGAAUAAAUAAACAUUCAAUUUUAAUUUCAUGCUUUCAUGAAAUGCAACACAUCACAAACAAAUCACAUCAAGGAUGAACUUGUCCCCAAUAGCCCUCUACAUAAUUCCAUAGUGCCAGAACGUAGAAUGGGUCCUGGUCUUUCACUUAAACAUAAUAUUCCAAAGUGCCAGAACCUAGAAUGGGUCCUGGUCUUUCUCUUACAUGGUGCCAGCGAACAUAGAAUGGGUCCCACUGGUCUUUCAUUCCGUACCGUACAUAUCAUAUCAUCACAUCAUAGAUUGAGGGCUAUGGAUCAUCCAAUAUCCAUCCGCAUCAACAACAUAUUAUGCAAUGCAACAUAUUCGUGAAUUCUAAUGCAAGCAACCUAGUAUAUCUCAUGGCAUACGUGAUGCAUGUAUCAUGCUCAAAUUUUAUUUAUUUGCUUUGAAACGUGAAAAAUUAUUCCACUCACCUCUGGCUGAAGCUCUAAUGACUCUGAAGUAGCUAUCUCACUGCUGAGGGCCUCGGUUCCUCGGGUCCAAACCUACACAGGUGGACUCAAAUGAGGGACCAAACAUCCAUAAACAUGACUCUAAAAUACUCCCCAAAAAUCCCCCUAAAAGACCUUAAAACAAUCACAUAAAUCAUGCAAAGGAAGGCUGAACAGGGCACUUUCGGCGGCAGGUUCGGCGGCCGAAAGGCCCUCCAGAGCCGAAAGUCAUGCACCUUCGGCGGCCGAAGGUUCUCUCCAGAGACGAAACUCAUGCAUGUUCGGCGGCACCUUCGGCGGCCGAAACUCCCUUCCAGAGCCGAAAGUCCUCUUUCGGGGGCAGGGUUCGGCAGCCGAUACAUGCUACCACAGGCAGGUUCGGCGGCCGAAAAAGCCUUCGGCUGCCGAACCUGAGUUCUUCCCAAGGGCAGAAACUCAGCCUCAAACAUGUACAAAAGCCUCCCAACUCAUUCCAUCAUACAUUUACUUAGUCUACAACAUGCAAACUCAAGCAUAUAGGCUUCUAGGGGCUUCAAACUAUCCUAAACCCC
rnacentral:lncRNA from 1 species